rnacentral:rRNA from 1 species
UACGUAGGGUGCAAGCGUUGUCCGGAAUUAUUGGGCGUAAAGAGCUCGUAGGCGGUUUGUUGCGUCGGCUGUGAAAUCCCGAGGCUCAACCUCGGGUCUGCAGUCGAUACGAGCAAACUAGAGUGUUGCAGGGGAGACUGGAAUUCCUGGUGUAGCGGUGAAAUGCGCAGAUAUCAGGAGGAACACCGGUGGCGAAGGCGGUUCUCUGGGCAUUACCU